AGACUAAUGACCGAAGCUUCAAGACUUUGACAUGUGUGAAAACAUGAAAUGACCCUUGGCUCUUAUUGUUCUUGCUGGUGUGGUAUGUUCACGGCUGAAAAGAUGGUCAGAAGGGGAAAGGAGGAAGUGAGAAGAAAGAAACAGGGAAAUGACAGAGUGUUGCUCAGUUACCCAGGCUGGAGUGCAAUGGCAUGAUCUUGGCUCACUGCAGCCUCCACCUCCUGGGUUCAAGCGGUUCUCGUGCCUCAGUCUCCCAAGUAGCUGGGAUUACAGCAGGCUGAGGAAUUACCAAGGAGGCAGGAGGUGGAGCAAAACACACCAAGCCUGGUGCCAAUCAUUGACAAUAUUAUGGAACUGACUCAGCGCAAGAAGACAGCUUCGACUCCUUGUGAUUUCAUCCCUAACCAAUCAGCACUCCUGGCUCACUGGCUUCCCCCAACCCACCAAAUUGUCCUUAAAAACUCUGCUCUCCAAACGCUGGGGGAGACUGAUUUGAGUAAUAAUAAAACCCUGGUCUCCUGCA
rnacentral:lncRNA from 1 species